UACGUAGGGGGCAAGCGUUGUCCGGAUUAUUGGGCGUAAAGAGCGUGUAGGCGGUUUGGUAGGUCCGCUGUGAAACUCGAGCUCAACCUCGAGACGCCGGUGGAAACCAUCAGACUAGAGUCCGGAAGAGGAGAGUGGAAUUCCUGGUGUAGCGGUGAAAUGCGCAGAUAUCAGGAAGAACACCCGGUGGCUAAGGCGGGCUCUCUAGUAGCGGUCACUGACGCUGAGACGCGAAAGCGUGGGAGCGAACAGG
rnacentral:rRNA from 1 species